GGGCAUGUAGCCAAGAGGUUAUUGCGUUCACUUUGCAUGUUUAUAUGCAACUUGUCCCCGGUUCGAAUCUGGGCUUGUCCA